rnacentral:lncRNA from 1 species
GAUUUGUGUCUCAAGAAGUAGACCCAUACUUUUCUGGAGUGAUCAUCGAUGAAAGUCACAAAAUAAGACUUUCCGCCAAUAGAUGGAACUGCAGCUGGCCCCCAGACAUCCGUGUGGACUAACUCUAGCUUUUCCUGCUUCGGAGUUCUGCCACACUUGUUGAAACUCACCCGCUUCUGCUUCCCGAAGAUGCAACUCUCACAUAGGUCUGCAUCAAUAGAUUGAAGUCCUGGUAGUUUCCCUUUAUCAUGCAUGUACUUGAGUCCUUUUUGACUCAUAUGCCCCAGUCUCUGGUGCCAUAGAUUCGGAUCGUCAUUCGAAUCAGCAAUUGUAAUUACUCCGCAAGCACUCGUCGUGGUGUAAAGAGUACCACUUUUCUUGCCUCGUGCUAUGAUCAUUGCAUCCCUGGAAACCUUCCAAAUAUCGCCGUUGAAGGUUGUGAUAUAACCCUCAUUUGAUAGUUGGCCCACAGAUAUCAAGUUCUUCCUCAAGUCUGGAAUGUGUCUGACAUCCUUCAAUUUCCAUACAGAUCCAUUAAGCUUGAUCUGUACUUCGCCUUUGCCGACUACGUCACAAGGUUGAUCAUCACCAAGAUAUACUUUUCCAAGAUUGCCCGGCUCAUAACUCGUAAAGAGUUCUCUGUUUGAGGUAGCAUGAAAAGAUGCUCCAGAAUCUAUCACCCAGUAUUCUGCUUUGCUUUCCAAAGAGCAUAUCAAAGCAUCAUCUGAUUCCUCCGCUACAACAUUGGCCUCGGUCUUGUUUUCAUUUUUGGAAACUUGACACUGAUUUUUGUAGUGUCCGGUCUUGCCGCAAUUCCAACAUUCAACAACUUUUGAUUUGUUGGAAUUCUUUGGAUUUCUGGAUUUUGAUCUACCAAAUCUUGACUUGCUCCUGUAAUGCCCUUUACCUCUGUUUGAACUUCUGCCUCUGCUCUCCACGUUCAAAGCAGCUCCAGAAGUGGAAACACCUUCUGAUUGUCUUCGUAUUUCCUCGGUCAGGAUCAUACUCACAACAUCUUCAAAUUUCAAUUUGGACUUUCCGGCAGAGCUACUAAUUGCUGUAACUGUGCCAUUCCAACUCUCAGGCAGCUGCCCGAGAAUCAAC